GAUGAAGAACGUAGCGAAAUGCGAUACGUAAUGUGAAUUGCAGAAUUCAGUGAAUCAUCGAAUCUUUGAACGCAUAUUGCGCUCUCUGGUAUUCCGGAGAGCAUGCUCGUUUGAGUAUCAGUAAACACCUCAACUUCCAUAUCUUUUUUGAAAUGGGAGUUGGACUUGAGUGAUCCCAACGCUUUUCCUCACCGAAAAGUGGCGGGUUACUUGAAAUGCAGGUGCAGCUGGACUUUUCUCUGAGCUAUAAGAAUAUCUAUUUAGUCUGCCUAAAAAACAGAUUAUUACCUUUGCUGCAGCUAACAUAAAGGAGAUUAGUUCUUGUGCUGACUGAUGCAGGAUUCACAAAGACAGGCUUCGGCCGACUUUGUAAACUCGAUCUCAAAUCAAGUAAGACUACCCGCUGAACUUAAGCAUAUCAAUAAGCGGAGGA
rnacentral:misc_RNA from 1 species